rnacentral:rRNA from 1 species
AGCGCAGGCGGUUGGAAUAGUCUGAUGUGAAAGCCCACGGCUUAACCGUGGAAGGUCAUUGGAAACUGUCCAACUUGAAUGCAGAAGAGGUAAGUGGAAUUCCAAGUGUAGCGGUGAAAUGCGUAGAUAUUUGGAGGAACACCAGUGGCGAAGGCGACUUACUGGUCUGUAAUUGACGCUGAGGCUCGAAAGCGUGGGUAGCAAACA